UCAUCCGACGCGCAGACGCCGUUUGGUGGAUGGCUUGGCUUGAGGGGCGAUGAAGGGCGUGGCAAGCUGCGAUAAGCCUCGGGUAGGUGCACGCGACCUUUGAUCCGAGGAUACCCGAAUAGGACUUCCUAACAGAGAUCCGUUUAGGACCUCUGUUGUUCCAGUUAUGGAACGCGAAAUCUCCGGAAGGAAACAUCUGAGUAGGAGGGCGAAAAGAAAUCAAUUGAGAUCCCCGUAUUAGCAGCGAGCGAAAUGGGGAGAGCCCAAACCGAAUCCAUUAUGGUAACAUAGUGGAGAUGUGGGGUUCGCUAUAGGCGCUUGCAGUCCACUUCUUUCAAGCCGAAAUGGCAUGGAAAGGCCUAACGUAGAAGGUGAUAUUCCUGUAGGUGGCGAAAGAGAUGGAUUGUGCCUAUAGCAGAGUACCUGGCCUUGGCAGUGGCUAGGGAAGAUGGGGGAAAGCAGCCUCCAAGGCUAAAUACCUCUCAAGACCGAUAGCGAAACAGUACCGUGAGGGAAAGCUGAAAAGAACCCUGAAAGGGGUGUGAAAAGCGCCUGAAACCAAACGGUUACAGACGUGUACUGCCCGAAAGGGACACUCUGCCUACCGAUAGUCGCCUGCAAAGGUGGCUAGAGGAAAGCACCAGUCGCAGGGUGGUACAUUCCGUCUCGAAACACGGGCCAGGGAGUUUAUUGUCAUGGCGAGCUUAAGAGUUUGAAGCUCGAAUGCGAAGGGCAACCGACUUUCCGCAACCAUGAUUUUUCAUGGCCAGGGAAGGGGUCUGAAAGGGCCUUUAGUCAUGGCGAUAAGACUAGAAACCGGACGAUCGUGCCUUGAGUAGGAUGAAGCCCGGGGAAACCUGGGUGGAGGUCCAUAAGGGUCCUGACGUGCAAUUCGGUCCCCUGACUCGAGGCAAGGGGCCAAAAGCCAAUCUAGUCCGGUGAUAGCUAGUUCCCACCGAAGUAGAUCUGAGUCUAGCCUGGGUGGACAUGGCUGGCGCUGUAGAGCACUGAUGGGAAGACAAGGGUCCGAAAGGUCCCACCUUCCUUUCAAACUCCGAAUGUACCAGCAUGGUAGAAGCCCAGAGACGGGUUUAUGUGGGGUAAGCCUCAUAACCGAGAGGGGAGCAACCCAGACUAGAGUUAAGGCCCCCAAAUGUCGGCUAAGUGUCAAACAAAAGAGCGUCCUUGAGCAAAGACAGCAGGAAGGUAGGCUUAGAACCAGCCACCCUUCAAAGAGUGCGUAACAGCUCACCUGCCGAGCUCGGGGGCCUCGAAAAUGGACGGGGCUCAAGUCGACUGCCGAUACUCUAGACCACGAGUAAGAUCGUGUGUGGUAGGUGGGCGUAGUGGGUGGAGAGAAAUAGGGUCGUGAGAUCCUAUGGACCGCCCUCUAUUGCAGAUCCUGGUGGUAGUAGCAGCGUAGUCGGGUGAGAAUCCUGAUCACCGAAAGGGCAAGGUUUUCCUGGCAACGCGUCAUCGGCCAGGAGUAAGCCGGUCCUAAGUGCAACCCCAACGGAGUUGCGCGAACCAGGGAAACGGGUUAAUAUUCCCGUGCCUUUGCAAGUCCGGGUGAUCUUAGAUCACACAUCUGGAAGUGGGAGCUUCAAGAUAAGGGGAGCAGGGUUGUCGCCCUGUCUAAUCUUUCGAGAUUGGGGGAGUGUCGUAAUGACGAGAACCUGAUCGAGAAGAGAAUGGCCAGCUAUUGGGCUGGUUCUCCCGAUUCUAGGAGACAUUGAAGACUCUUCCAGAGAGGCCUUGUAAAGUCCGUACCGAGAUCCGACACUGGUGUCCCUAGGUGAGAAGCCUAAGGUGUAUCGGGUACAAAGUAGGCAAGGGAAUUCGGCAAAUUAGCCCCGUAACUUAGGGAUAAGGGGUGCCUGCAGUCCUUACGAGGAGUAGGGACAGCAGGUCUCAGUAACAAGGGGGUCUCGACUGUUUACUAAAAACACAGGAGGCUGCUAGCCCGCAAGGGUGUGUAUAGCCUCUGAAUCUUGGCCAGUGGUGGUACCUAAAACUCAGGUUCAACUGAGCUAAGGGCCGCUUAACGCCGGGAGUAACUCUGACUCUCUUAAGGUAGCCAAAUGCCUUGUCGGGUAAGUUCCGACGUGCAUGAAUAGAUCAACGAGGGCCCCGCUGUCCCUGUCUGCAACCCGGUGAACCCACAUUAGGUGGACGAACAGUCCACCAUCUUCCAUCGGGAAGAGAAGUCCCUGUGGAGCUUUACUGCAGCUUGUUGUUGCGAUGCGACUGUAAUUGCAGAGAGUAGCCGGGAGCCGUUAUGCAUGCAUCUUCGGGUGCAUGAUAGGCGCAAGUGUAACACCGGUCUCUUACGGGUGCGUCGCUAACCUCAUAUGAGGGACAUCGGCAGGUGGGCAGUUCGGCUGGGGCGGCACCCCCUUGACAGGAUAUCGAGGGGGCCCAAAGGUUGGCUCAGGUGGGUCAGAAAUCCACCUUCGAGGGCAAGGCCAAAAGCCAGCCUGACAGGAUUCUGAAAAGCAAAGAAUUCUGAGGCGAAAGCCUGGCCUAGCGAUCCUCCAUGUCCCCACUGUUGGGGGCUGGAGGUGACAGAAAAGUUACCCCAGGGGUAACAGGCUCGUCGCGGGCGAGAGCUCCGAUCGACCCCGCGGUUUGGUACCUCGAUGUCGGCUCUUCCCAUCCUGGUCCUGCAGCAGGGGCCAAGGGUGGGGCUGCUCGCCCAUUAAAGGGGAACGUGAGCUGGGUUUAGACCGUCGUGAGACAGGUCGGUCUCUAUCUGAUGGAAGCGGAGGUUGUUUGAGGGGAAGUUGCCCUCAGUACGAGAGGAACGGGGCAACGCGGCCUCUGGACUACCGGUUGUUCGAUAGAGCACCGCCGGGCAUCUAAGCCGCCGAGGAUAAGAGCUGAAAGCAUCUAAGCUCGAAGCCUCUCCCGAGAAGAGACAACCAUCCAUGUUCAGCCUCCUUCGGGAAGCUGACUUGGACGAGAGCCGUCAUAGAAGAUGACGUUGAUGGGGUGGGGGUGUAAGCUGGAAGGCUUCGGCCGACCAGUUCAGCCCGCCACUACCAAUCGCUCAAGGCGUCGGGAUA
rnacentral:rRNA from 1 species